rnacentral:rRNA from 1 species
AUUGAACGCUGGCGGCAGGCCUAACACAUGCAAGUCGAACGAAUGGCGGACGGGUGAGUAAUGUCUGGGAAACUGCCUGAUGGAGGGGGAUAACUACUGGAAACGGUAGCUAAUAACGCAUACCAUCGGAUGUGCCAAGAUGGGAUUAGCAAGUAGGUGGGGUAACGGCUCACCAAGGCGAAGAUACCUAGCUGGUCUGAGAGUAUGACCGGCCACACUGGAACUGAGACACGGUCCAGACUCCUACGGGAGGCAGCAGUAGGGAAUCUUGCACAAUGGGCGCAAGCCUGAUGCAGCCAUGCCGCGUGUGUGAAGAAGGCUUUCGGGUUGUAAAGUUCUUUCGUUGGUGAGGCGUUACCCACAGAGGAAGCCACGGCUAACUACGUGCCAGCAGCCGCGGUAAUAC